CCUACGGGAGGCAGCAGUGGGGAAUUUUGCGCAAUGCUCGUACGAGUGACGCAGCGACGCCGCGUGAAUGACGAAGGCCUUCGGGUCGUAAAGUUCUUUCGACAGGGACGAAAAUGCCUAUAAGUAACUGUGUAUGUAUUUACGGUACCUGUAUAAGCAGCCCCGGCUAACUCCGUGCCCGCAGCCGCGGUAAUACGGAGGGGGCGAGCGUUGUUCGGAGUGACUGGGCGUAAAGAGUACGUAGGCGGUGUUGUCAGUCAUUAGUCAAAGACUAGAGCUCAACUUUAGUAAGGCUAGUGAUACUAUAAUACGAGAGUAUCAGAGAGGAUUGCAGAAUUCCUGGUGUAGCGGUGAAAUGCGUAGAUAUCAGGAGGAAUACCGUUAGCGAAGGCGGCAAUCUGGCUGGAAACUGACGCUGAGGUGCGAAAGCGUGGGUAGCAAACAGGAUUAGAUACCCCUGUAGUC
rnacentral:rRNA from 1 species